AGUAAAACAAAUCUUUGAUACCUCUCUUCUUCUUCUUCUUCCACGCAGCUUACACCAAACUCUAACCUGCUAGACUUUCUCCAGCUCAGAUCUUCUCUUUCGUUCGCAAUUAAGUUAAGACCAUGGAGCAAACUGGCGACAAAAUCGAAACAUCAGGGAGUAAAAUGACUAUUUUUAAAGGAUUGGGGCAAAGCCGUUGAAACGACCAAACCACAGGGAGCAAAACAGAAAUUUACUCAAAUAAUAAUAUUAGGCACGGUUUCUAUUAUUUCCUCAUAGUACACUGGAAAUAGGACUGAUAAAAGAUCUAACCUAAAUAUGUGAAGGGGUCCAAAAUCCAAAUGGUUUUGAGUUUUUGACUGCUUAUGAACCACGCAUGUUGUUUAUGUAAUGAAUUAUACAUUUAGGUGUUGUUUGUUUUUCAGAGAUAAAAUGUUUGCAAUCUACGGACCACAUCUGCAGACAUCUGCAGCUGAAGAGGUGGACCAAACCUCUGCAGUCUUCUAGAAGUCUUCUUCUAGAAGACUGUUUGUUUUUUAUGUAACAAAGCAAAGAUCUGCUGAAAUUAACCACCUCAUAUGUGAACAAGGAACUAGUUUCAAUUGAACUGGUAAUUCAAAUGUACAAAUUCAUGUGAGAGAACACUGAUUAAAAUAGAAAACAAACACUAGUCGACAACCCCCAAAUUACAGUCACCUUUGUUUUAUAAAAAACUUUAAACCCAUUAGUGGUGAUUUCUUGAAGAAUUAAAGAAACCCAGAAGAUAUGGAACAAUUGCGAUUGAAUUUGUGGUUUGAUGAAGAAAUGGGGAGAAAAACUUACGAUUUCGAUUGUGUUGGAAACAGUGAAGUUAUUCCGUUCUUCCUCUAUACCCCUGUUCUUGAAGCAUCGAAUGUAGGGGAUGGAGAUGCAAGAAAUGAGUGAAACAAGUUAGAUAAAUAAUAAUAAGUUGUUUCGAUUUAUGAUUGUAGUAGUUGUAUUCUCUAUUAAUGGCAGAUUGUAGUAUUACUUACGGAGAGCUAGGAGAGGAGGCGGAAGCUGAGAACACGGUUGUCCGGCGGUGGCGGUGUUCGCCGGUGGUGGAGACGGUGAUUUAUGAUAAUGGAGGUGUCGUUGUGGAGAAGAAGGGUGCUAGGGUUGUGUUUUGGAGAAGAAGGAUGUGGGGGUCUGUGGAGAAGAAGGGUGCUAGGGUUUUUUUUAGAUGUGUUUUGAAAGAGGAGGAAGUGGUUUGGCAGAGGUGUGAAGAUGUAAGUCCAUAUCUGCGCGAGGAAGAGCUCUAGAAGAGCUUUUUUAGUGAAAUCUCGUCCAAAAAACAAACACGCUGCAGACCCAAAGGUCUGCGCGUGGUCUACAUGGCGCAGACAUAAGAGGUUAGGAAGUACUUCUUGCAAAAAACAAACACCCCCUUACUGAUAUUAAUAAAUGAAUCACAUUUGCAUAACCUCUAUCCAAAGACUACGACAAUUGGCAUUGAUGCGAGAAACUAUCUUCGAGGCUUGAUCCACAAGAAUAGUUUGAGAAUUGUUGUUUUUGAUAUGGAGAACGAUGAUGAGCGUUACAUGGUAGAUGCAUAUUUGGAAGGCGUUAGUCUUCAGGAAACCCUCUUAUCUCACGGUUGGGCAUGGACGGAAAAAAUGCCUUUUGACAAAAAAAAAAGAUUUCAUGAAGAUACCGUCUUUAUAUGCUAACAAAAAAAAAGUAUGUUAUUUUCAAAACACGUUAUUGUUUGAUAUCAGCUACAAAAAUAAGCUAGUAAUGAAAAAGUCGGAUUGUGGGCGCAUCAUCAAGAUACAUAGAAGGUGACGUAGCAGCACCAAAGAAAGAAAUCCAGCGAUGUUCGCCAUUUAAAGCUAACGAACAGGGUACCACAUGAAACUAGCUUGCUUAAUAUUAAGGUUCAUGCUAUAUGUCUGCACUACCAAAUGUAAAUUGGUUUUUGAUAACACAUCGUCACUAGAUAUUAAACUCAAGUUUGAUUAAGCUGCAACUUUUGAAGUGGUGCAAAGAUUAGCAGUUUUCUUGAUAAAAUCACAUGAAACCAAAAUCUUCAAUGACUCUAGCUUUGUGGCAAACGAAACAAACCACCGGCAUAAAGCAUCUGGAGAAUGGGCCUAAUCCUAAUCACAGUAAUCCCUUGAUGACGGAGGUGCUGCCCAUGAGUUCACGACCAUAUUGUCAACCAUAUGUUAGAAUAUCGAGAUCGAGCGACAAGUACGUGAGCUUCUUCAAUAGGCGCAGUCAUAGCCCAUUUUAAUCACCCGUUUUAUUGGUCAAAAAGUUGGAUGGUACGUGGCGGUUUUUUGUCAACUAUCGGGCCUUGAAUAAAAUUACAAUUGAAGACAAAUAUCCGGAUGAUCAAGAACUAAUUGAACGAGCUAAGAUUUUUCCUAAACUAGAUCCUUGUUCCGCGCACCAUCAGAUUCGAACAAAAAAAAGAUUUACAUAAAACGGCGUCUUGAACACAUGAUGGGCAUAAUGAAGUUGCGGUGAUGCCUUUUGGCCUUACGAACGCGCCGACCAUGUUUCAAAGCUUAAUGAAUGAUCUUUUUCGGCCGUAUCUUCAUAGACUCCGGAAGCGAAUGAUAGCGGCUUAAAAAAGUUCCUAACGAACGUUGACUACUAUAGCAAGUAUUCAAAGGUUAUUGAGCAUUUUUCGGAAAAGAAAUGGUUCCCUAAGGAUGCUACGUGGUACCCCGCCAUAUGUAAGGAAGGUGAAAAAACAAAAAAGACGUGACACAUGCUACAGUUGCAACAAUUGUUGCGUCAACCUUAGAAGGAAAACUUAACUCUGUGGUCAAGGUUUAUCUUAUUACUCUAAUCACUUCAAAUUAGCACCAACAACUUAGAUUAACGCCAACCUUUUCGGUUGUGACAACUGGCACUUUUCCAUGUAUUCCGUACAGUAUAAACAGUAAUUUGUACCUUAAUGACUGUGCAUGAUUGAGCU